AUUCUUAUGCUCGGGCAUUAGCGACGACGAUGAGGUCACCACCGAGUCUCGCUGAACUGCUUAUUGCAAACUAAACCAAACCGUCUCUCUAUCCUUUAGGAUAGUUAGCAAUCUCUUCGACCUGUCACAAGG
rnacentral:snRNA from 1 species